CUUGAUGACUCAGAAUGAUCGUACUGUACAAUGAUGCAGUGAGGUCCCCAGGGUCUGUGGGGUGAGUUCAGCUGCCGUUUCCUACAAUGUGUUGCUCCAGGCCGCGGUGCUUUUGUCCUUGACUUGUACAAGGUGCGGUCUAGAGAGAACUUCAUGCUUCAAAUUUGAAAGAAUAUGCAACUAUAGAAGAGACUCAUCCACAGUGUAAUGGGUUGUUGGGCCCAUUGCUAUGUGGACCACCAUGUGGACCUGCAGUCAGGGAUGCAGAGACUGCCUCUUCCCGUCGUCCCUGUCAUCAAAGCAUUUCUCAUACAAUGGCCAAAAAGCAUCCCAAGCCUCGGUUCUUAAAAAAACAGGUUCCAUGUCAGCCAGAACCUAA
rnacentral:lncRNA from 1 species